rnacentral:rRNA from 1 species
CCUACGGGAGGCAGCAGUGGGGAAUAUUGGGCAAUGGGCACAAGCCUGACCCAGCAACGCCGCGUGAAGGAAGAAGGCUUUCGGGUUGUAAACUUCUUUUCUCAGGGACGAAGCAAGUGACGGUACCUGAGGAAUAAGCCACGGCUAACUACGUGCCAGCAGCCGCGGUAAUACGUAGGUGGCAAGCGUUAUCCGGAUUUACUGGGUGUAAAGGGCGGGUAGGCGGGGACGCAAGUCAGAUGUGAAAACCACGGGCUCAACCUGUGGCCUGCAUUUGAAACUGUGUUUCUGGAGUACUGGAGAGGCAGACGGAAUUCCGAGUGUAGCGGUGAAAUGCGUAGAUAUACGGAGGAACACCAGUGGCGAAGGCGGAUUGCUGGACAGUAACUGACGCUGAGGCGCGAAAGCGUGGGGAGCAAACAGGAUUAGAUACCCCUGUAGUC